GGACCCCCAUGAUGUCCAGCACUGGGCUCUGACCACCCUGAGGACAUGGUGCCCCCUGGGAACUUUGACACCCAGAGGUCUGAGGGGUCC
ensembl:snoRNA